rnacentral:tRNA from 1 species
AUUUAUAUAAUAUAAAAAUUAUAUUUAAUUUCCAAUUAAAAAAUCUAUAAAAUAGUAUAAAUA